rnacentral:rRNA from 1 species
GACAGAGGGGGCAAGCGUUGCUCGGAAUUACUGGGCGUAAAGGGCUCGUAGGCGGCCAACUAAGUCAGACGUGAAAUCCCUCGGCUUAACCGGGGAACUGCGUCUGAUACUGGUUGGCUUGAAUCCGGGAGAGGGAUGUGGAAUUCCAGGUGUAGCGGUGAAAUGCGUAGAUAUCGUAAGGAAGACCAGUGGCGAAGGCGGGUCUCUGGACAGUUCCUGACGCUGAGGCACGAAGGUCAGGGGAGCAAACGGG